rnacentral:tRNA from 1 species
GCCGAAGUGGCGGAAAUGGCAGACGCGCUGCGUUCAGGUCGCAGUGAGUGAAAGCUCGUGGGGGUUCGACUCCCCCCUUCGGCA